AUGCCGGUAGUUUUGAAUCGUAUCAAUAGUAAACAAUUAUUUUUAGUAUGUUUAUUUUCAUGUCGUAAUUGGAAUGGUUGUUGUCACACAUAUUUAUAAAAAUACGUUAAAAUGAGUGUUGUGUUUCAAGACAACAUCGGUUGGGUUUUAUCUCACGACAUGUUCGUGAAAAGUAUUUAUGGUGAAGUCUAUGACAAUAACGUUACGUAUAGGUUAGAGUUCGACCCAGCGCUGUUUAAGAUCGAAACUCCAUUUAUAAAUAAAGCACCUAUCGACUCAGAUAAUUCGUUGGCCUCAGAUAAUUCCGGUAAUUUGUGGUUUUCACCCAAGAAGAAAAGAAGAACUAACCGAAACGGCGCCGAAAGUACGAAUAACAGUGCACAGCAAGUAGUUAAUCUUGUGGCAAACAAAUCAUCAGCUUUACUUAAUAAUGCAAAGAAACAGGGUGUGUUCAACUGUGAGCCAUCAUCAUCAGAUAACUUAAGAAGAAACGAAGAUGCUAGAAACCUAUCAGUUACAUUUUACAAAGAAAACUCUGAUGAACAAAAUAAGACAUUUCAUGGAGCCAACAAUCAGGAGUUCCCCAUAAUAGUGUCACACGGAGAGAAAAAGUAUGUUUUCCCGCCAAGGUGUAUGUUCUUUAAUAAUGAUAUCAGCAACUUGAACCAGAAAUUGGAUGUCCUUGGGAAGUUCGAUCUGCUGCUCUUGGAUCCACCUUGGUGGAAUAAAUAUAUACGAAGGAAGAAACAAAAGUCUCGUGAAUCAAGUUACAGUAUGAUGUAUGAUGAGGACCUGUUAAAAUUGCCGGUUGCAUCCUUAAUAGCUCCUGGUGCACUUGUUGCAGUAUGGUGCACAAAUUCUGAAACACACAUAAAUACAAUGAAAAAUAAAAUAUUUCCUUCUUGGGGAAUUGAGUGUGUCAGCAAAUGGUACUGGCUGAAGGUCACUCGAAGUGGUAUACCAGUUUGCAAUUUCUCUGAACCUCCUAAUAAGCAGCCAUUUGAGCAAAUACUCUUUGCACAUCAACUGUGUACACCAAGAAGUUUUCCAUUACCAGAAGAUGGAAAAAUAGUUAUUAGCGUCCCAAGUGCUAUUCAUUCACACAAACCUCCUUUGACAGAUGCUUAAAAGCAAAUGUGGAGCCAGUGCACAGGCCGUUUAUAGUCCACAAGUGUACUGGUCCCACUUGCUGAAGUUCGUGGACCAGGCCACAGUGGUAGAUGAAAGUGUCUCUCAUUUAGAGGACAUGGAAAGCGGCAGUGAACGUGGAACCCCACAUUUGAAGAAAUUUUUGAGCAUGAAGUAGAGGCACAGUAUUCAUCACAAGAAGAGACUGAUGUCACCUGCAGUGAGCCACAGCCCCAGCAGCAUGAACGGCUUCCCACAAAGAGAAGAAAAGUGACAACAGACAUUCUUUUGGAGGCCACCAAAAUGUUGAAGCCUGUGACUGAUAUUUGCAAAAACCAGUCCCAGCCUGCCCGGUCCGCCUGCGGGUCCGGGGGUAAGAACAGGCCAGAGGUAUUCCUGACUGUUGUAAGAGGCGACUAAAAGGAGUCUCACACGUUUCGGCCUUUAUGUGAUGGUCCCCUUUAGGGUUUGACCUCCAUUUUUCCAAAGAGCAAGGCAAUUGGGGAAGGGCGCCUUACAUGGUGCAUUGUAUCCAUCGUGCAUUGAGAUCUUUCGCCCACUUUCUUGUCGAGGCAUUGCAGUUCCGCUCAUCCUCCAUCUCUUGGGCAAAGACACCUUCCUGGUUGCGUUUUCCUCCACCCACUAUGCAGUGUCAUUUUCUGCGCCGACGAUGACCAAGGAAUUCUUAGUACCUCCAGCAUGGCAGCCAGUCUGUUGUGGUGGGGCCGCCAUGUACCCUGUUGGUUGUAGCCCCCAGACUACACAGGGGUUGCUCUGCUGAUGCCUGCGCCGUUAACUCCCCACGUAUGCCAAGGAGUAGAUGCCUGUCACCCUGGGGUAUUGGGAGUCCUGGCAAUGGACAUCGUGCCAGGUGGCCUUUGCUGCAGCUGGGUGGCGACCGUGGGGAUGGCCCCUGUUCAGAGUGGGUGUCAUCAGGGCGGAUGAUACGCCAUGAAGUGUAGUACGUCAUCUCUCGCUGGUGGUCUGCCACCAGCAGUCUCUAAGUGGGCAAAGUCUAAGUCAGUGAAGUCUCAGUUUUUUGUGGAGCAUUUAGAGGACAAUUUUGAGGAGGUGAGGGAUUGUCCAAAAUGUGAUCUUGAGCAAAACAGCCUCCUCUGCCCAGUUAAGGGCACCACUCUCCUAUGACAAGCUGGAGCAUGUUUCUGUUUCCAUCACGCCCCAUAAGAGCUUAAAUGUGGUCCAGGGUAUUUC